rnacentral:rRNA from 1 species
AGUGAACGCUGGCGGUAGGCCUAACACAUGCAAGUCGAACGGCAGCACCGUAAGAGCUUGCUCUUACGGGUGGGGAGUGGGGGACGGGUGAGGAAUAGAUCGGAAUCUACUUUUUCGUGGGGGAUAACGUAGGGAAACUGACGCUAAUACCUCAUACGACCUACGGGUGAAAGCAGGGGAUCUUCGGACCUUGUGCGAUUGAAUGAGCCGAUGUCGGGUUAGCUAGUUGGCGGGGUAAAGGCCCACCAAGGCGACGAUCCGUAGCUGGUCUGAGAGGCUGAUCGGCCACACUGGGACUGAGACACGGUCCAGACUCCUACGGGAGGCAGCAGUAGGGAAUAUUGGGCAAUGGACGCAAGCCUGAUCGAGCGAUGCCGCGUGGGUGAAGAAGGCCUUCGGAUUGUAAAACCCUGUUGUUGGUAAAGACCAGCCUCACGUUUAUACCCCGGUGUUCUGACGGUACCCAAAGAAUAAGCACCGGCUAACUUCGUG